rnacentral:rRNA from 1 species
AGAGUGAACGCUGGCGGUAGGCCUAACACAUGCAAGUCGAACGGCAGCACGGUAAGAGCUUGCUCUUAUGGGUGGCGAGUGGCGGACGGGUGAGGAAUACAUCGGAAUCUACCUUUUGGUGGGGGAUAACGUAGGGAAACUUACGCUAAUACCGCAUACGCCCUUCGGGGGAAAGCCGGGGACCAGCAAUGGCCUGGUGCUGAUAGAUGAGCCGAUGUCGGAUUAGCUAGUUGGUGAGGUAAUGGCUCACCGAAGGCGACGAUCCGUAGCUGGUCUGAGAGGAUGAUCAGCCACACGUGGAACUGAACGACACGGUCCAGACCUCCGUACGGGAGCAGCGAGGUGGGAAUAGUGGAACAAGUGGGACGCGAAGCCGUGACUCCGAGCCCACGUACCGGCGGU